rnacentral:tRNA from 1 species
GAGGUGGCCGAGCGGCUGAAGGCACAGGUUUGCUAAACCUGCGUAGGGGCAACUCUACCGAGGGUUCGAAUCCCUCCCUCUCCG